CGCCAGCCCGCUCAGAAACUCAAAUGCAGUUGACGGGGGCCCGCACAAGCGGUGGAGUAUGUGGUUUAAUUCGAUGCAACGCGAAGAACCUUACCUGGUCUUGACAUCCCGGAGACCCUUAGGAAACUAGGGGGUGCUUCCAUCUGGAAGAAUCUGGAGACAGGUGCUGCAUGGCUGUCGUCAGCUCGUGUCGUGAGAUGUUGGGUUAAGUCCCGCAACGAGCGCAACCCUUGCCUUUAGUUGCCAGCAGUUCGGCUGGGCACUCUAAAGGGACUGCCGGUGUUAAACCGGAGGAAGGUGGGGAUGACGUCAAGUCCUCAUGGCCUUUAUGACCAGGGCUACACACGUACUACAAUGGCCGAUACAAAGGGCAGCGACACUGCGAGGUGAAGCCAAUCCCGUAAAAUCGGUCUCAGUCCGGAUUGGAGUCUGCAACUCGACUCCAUGAAGUUGGAAUCGCUAGUAAUCGUGGAUCAGCAUGCCACGGUGAAUACGUUCCCGGGCCUU
rnacentral:rRNA from 1 species